GAUGAACGCUAGCUACAGGCUUAACACAUGCAAGUCGCGGGGCAGCAUGGGGGUUGCUUGCAAUCCCCGAUGGCGACCGGCGCACGGGUGAGUAACGCGUAUCCAACCUGCCCUUCACCACGGGAUAACCCGGCGAAAGUCGGACUAAUACCGUAUGUUGUCCAUUGACGGCAUCCGAUUUGGACGAAAGGCUUGGCGGUGAGGGAUGGGGAUGCGUCCGAUUAGCCAGACGGCGGGGUAACGGCCCACCGUGGCUACGAUCGGUAGGGGUUCUGAGAGGAAGGUCCCCCACACUGGAACUGAGACACGGUCCAGACUCCUACGGGAGGCAGCAGUGAGGAAUAUUGGUCAAUGGGCGUAAGCCUGAACCAGCCAAGUAGCGUGCAGGAUGACGGCCCUAUGGGUUGUAAACUGCUUUUAUGCGGGGAUAAAGUGGCCCACGUGUGGGCUUUUGCAGGUACCGCAUGAAUAAGGAUCGGCUAAUUCCGUG
rnacentral:rRNA from 1 species